rnacentral:rRNA from 1 species
GGUUUGAUCCUGGCUCAGGAUUAAACUGCUUGGCGGAUGCUUUAGCUACAUGCAAGUCGGACGGCAGCGGACUUCGGUCUGGUGGCGAGUGCGAACUGGCAUAAUGUAUCGGAACGUGCCUAUAGGGGAUAACUACGCGAAAGCGGCACACCGCAUGGCCCUUCGGGGUAUGGGGACCUUCGGGCCUUCUGGGAACAACUAUUGAUGUCGGGAUAUCGGACAGCUAGUUGGUGUAACGGCUCACCAAGGCAGACGAGAUCCCAGUUGUCGAGGACAGACCAGCCGCCACUGGGACUGAGAGACGCCGAGACUCUGCCAGAGGCAGCAGUGGGGAAUUUUGGACAAUGGGGGAAACCCUGAUCCAGCCAUCCCGCGUGUGGUGAUGAAGGCUCCUUGGGUUGUAAAGCACUUUUGUAGAUGAACGGCACGGGAUAAUACCGUGCAACUGACGGUACCUGCAGAAUAAGCACCCACUUAACUACGUGCCAGCAGCCGCGGUAUUACGUAGGUGCAAGCGUUAAUCGGAAUUGAUUGGGCGAAGCGUGCGCAGGUAUCUGAAGAAAGAUGUGAAAAUCCCAGAGCGGAAUCUGGAACUGCAUUUAACUACUGAUUAGAGUGUGGUGUCAGAGGGAGGUGGAAUUUCGUGUAGCAGUGAAUGCGUAGAUAUGCGGAGAGCACCGAUGGCGAAGGUAGCCUCUUGGAUAACACUGACGUUCAUACGUGAAAGCGGGAGCAAAUGGCAUUGACACUGUAGAACUAAUGCCCAAAUGAUGCCAACUUAGCCGUUGGGGCCUUCGGGCUCGGUAGCAGCUAUCGUGAAGCAGAUCGCCUGGGAGCACACCAAGAUACCAUUCGAAACUGAAGAAUGAUUGGGGACCGCACAAGCGCGGGAUACAGAUUAAUCGACGCAAUUGCGAAAAACUCUACCUACCCUCGACAUGUCAACCUGAACAGAUUUGGGAGCACUGGUGAGAACCGAACACAGGGAAGCAUGGCUGUCGUCAGCUCGUGUCGCAGAUGUUGGGUUAGUCCCACCAUGCAACCUUGCCGCGAGUUACAUGAAAGGGCACUCUAAUGAGAUCGCCGGUGACAAACCGGAGGUUGGGACACGUCAAGUCCUCAUGGUCCUAUGGGUGGUGGGCUUCACACGUCAUACAAUGGUCGGGACAGAGGGUCGCCAACCCGCGAGGGGAUUAAUCCAGAAACCCGAUCGUAGUCCGGAUCGCAGCUCAACCCGACUGCGUGAAGUCGGAAUCGCUAGUAAUCGCGGAUCAGCAUAUGUCGCGGUGAAUACGUUCCCGGGUCUUGUACACACCGCCCGUCACACCAUGGGAGUGGGUUUUACCAGGCGCAGCAGCCUAAUCCGUAAGGAGGGCGAUUACCACGGUAGGAUUCAUGACUGGGGUGAAGUCGUAACAAGGUAGUCCCA